UACAGAGUGAGUUCCAGGACAGCCAGAGAAACCCUGUCUCGAAAAACCAAAACCAACCAAACAAACAAACAAAAAAACACUGGCUGUUGGGAAGCCAAACUCCAAAUUUAAAACGGGAUUGAGUGUGGUUUGGGUCCGCAUUCAGCAAGGUAUGUACUGGACUCCUCAGCAGAGCUCAGCUUCUGAGUGUGACUGGGUGUGGUGAACAUUGACUGUGGCUGUGAUGCGGCCUCCCACCUCCAUGCUGUCCUUUCUGGGCAGGCGGAGGACACUGAAGGCCAUGCGUGAUAUGCUCUGCAGGGAAAUGAGUAGCUCUCUCUCUUUACAGCUUUGAACCUUGGCUUCGUACCUAAACGGCUCCUCGGACACUAAUGAGCGAUCCAACCUUUUAUUCUUUUUAAUCCAGGAGAAUAAAUUUAACACCAUUG
rnacentral:lncRNA from 1 species